GACGAACGCUGGCGGCGUGCUUAACACAUGCAAGUCGAACGGAAAGGCCCUGCUUUUGUGGGGUGCUCGAGUGGCGAACGGGUGAGUAACACGUGAGUAACCUGCCCUUGACUUUGGGAUAACUUCAGGAAACUGGGGCUAAUACCGGAUAGGAGCUCCUGCUGCAUGGUGGGGGUUGGAAAGUUUCGGCGGUUGGGGAUGGACUCGCGGCUUAUCAGCUUGUUGGUGGGGUAGUGGCUUACCAAGGCUGUGACGGGUAGCCGGCCUGAGAGGGUGACCGGCCACAUUGGGACUGAGAUACGGCCCAGACGCCUACGGGGGGCAGCAGUGGGGAAUAUUGCACAAUGGGCGGAAGCCUGAUGCAGCAACGCCGCGUGCGGGAUGAAGGCCUUCGGGUUGUAAACCGCUUUCGCCUGUGACGAAGCGUGAGUGACGGUAAUGGGUAAAGAAGCACCGGCUAACUACGUG
rnacentral:rRNA from 1 species